rnacentral:tRNA from 1 species
CGGCGGCGUGGUCGGCGGAGCGGUAGGCGGUGCCGUGGGCACCGUCAACGGCGCCCUCGGGAUCGACCCGGGCCGCCGC